GGAGGGUGCAAGCGUUGUCCGGAAUCACUGGGUGUAAAGGGUGUGCAGGCGGACCGUGCAAGUCAGUGGUGAAAGCCCGCAGCUCAACUGCGGAAGGGCCAUUGAAACUGCCGGUCUUGAGUCCCGGAGGGGUCAUCGGAAUUCGUGGUGUAGCGGUGAAAUGCGUAGAUAUCACGAGGAACACCAGAAGCGUAAGCGGAUGACCGGACGGUGACUGACGCUCAGGCACGAAAGCGUGGGGAGCAAACAGGAUUAGAUACCCUGGUAGUCCACGCCGUAAACGAUGGAUGCUAGAUGUUGCCCCCUUCUUGAGGGGCAGUGUCCAAGCUAACGCGGUAAGCAUCCCACCUGGGGAGUACGUUCGCAAGGAUG
rnacentral:rRNA from 1 species